UUACGCCUCUUACCCUUUAUCUGAGAUACCGGCGGAUUUUGCCAGCCUCCUCGAAUUCUUCUUACCUUUUGUCCUGCGUUACACGCCGGGGAAAGGAAUUCUGGGAUCGUGUGUUAUGCUGAUGCAAAAUGUUUUUAAGAAGUAAAGAAGUUGUAAAACAGUGGAUACAAGUGUAUAUUUAUAAUACAAGAAAUGACGAUUCUGAAAAAGAAGCUGAUGACCAGAAUAAGGGAUAGGAAGAUGACCUGUUUGCUUGAAGAGCGAGACCAGAGAGCAAGGAGCGGAGUAACUUGAUCCUUGAGGGUGCCUUUGGCUUAAGGGGGAAGCUGACUCUUCCGGAGAAUCCUGGAGCCGACAACAAAGGAACUCAGCACCCAGCUAACUUCCAGGAAGAAGCUUCCUUUCCUCCCCCUGCUUUUCCCCUUUCCCCUCCUUUCUCUCUCUGCAGCCAUCAGAAAUAAACUCUGGCUCAUUUCAUCUGAAAUAUGCUUUAUUCCAAGGAGAGUAAUAGCUCAGAGAAUCUCUGAAAAAAUCUCUAGAAAAAUCUCUAGAAAAGACAAGGAAACAGAUUAUCCCCUAGAGCCUCCAGAAGGGACUCUUGCCCUAUUUCCAGCACGGGUGUACCCAACAUGGUUCUCACUGGAAUUACAGCAAAUUGGAAGACAGUGGUGGUGACACAGGGUGAAGAACUACUUUUCAGAGGGUGAAACACAAGACUGGCUUUUAGGAAUUUUACCCCAAAGUAAUUUGUGACUGCAUCCUGUUGCCGAAACUUGGCCUCUGUUCACCGGUGCCGAAGAGGAACGCGGAGACAGAGUUUUGGGUGAAGUAGAAAAGAGUAGCUUUUAUUGCUUUGCCAGGCAGAGGGGGCCACGGCGGGCUAAUGCCCUCAAGACUGUGUGACCCACCCUGGAGGGCGUAGUGAGGAGUCUUACAGCGUCCGAGGAGCAGGGCGUGAUCCGCUCGCGGACAGUUCUCAGACUGGCUGGCAUCAAGGGGACGUUUCAAGCGUCAUCAACUUUCUGGUUUCAGCCAGUCCAGGGUCUAUGUGCUUGUGGGCAGCACUUUCCAUCUGGAGGGGGUCUGCUCCCUGUAAAACCACUUAGGAGUGUGUGUCAGGCCUUUAUCUGUAGCUUCAGUGAACUGGAAGUUCGGUGAUUCUGCCAUGUGGCGGAUUUAGAGUCUAAAUUGUUGCCCGUUCCCCAGCCCAACAGCUGUUCUUUGUUUCUACACCUUCACAUUCCCUAAUCAUUAAGUCUUUACUUCAAAAGACAAGGACACGGGGGCUCGUACACGGUUUCAACCCUGACCAGGUCUGAGACUUACACGAUGCAUAUGCUGUUGUUUUCAUAAACGUUAACGUCCAUAAAAUGAAGUUCUUAAAAGCA